UACGGAGGGUGCAAGCGUUAUCCGGAUUUACUGGGUUUAAAGGGUGCGUAGGUGGGUUGGGAAGUCAGUGGUGAAAUACUUUCGCUUAACGAAGGAACUGCCAUUGAUACUAUCAAUCUUGAAUGUAGUGGAGGUAGGCGGAAUGCGUCAGUGUAGCGGUGAAAUGCUUAGAUAUGACGCAGAACACCAAUUGCGAAGGCAGCUUGCUACACUACUAUUGACACUG
rnacentral:rRNA from 1 species